rnacentral:rRNA from 1 species
AGAUUGAACGCUGGCGGCAGGCCUAACACAUGCAAGUCGAGCGGUAGAGAGAAGCUUGCUUCUCUUGAGAGCGGCGGACGGGUGAGUAAUGCCUAGGAAUCUGCCUAGUGGUGGGGGAUAACGUUCGGAAACGGACGCUAAUACCGCAUACGUCCUACGGGAGAAAGGCGGGGACCUUCGGGCCUCGCGCCAUUAGAUGAGCCUAGGUCGGAUUAGCUAGUUGGUGAGGUAAAGCUCACAAGGCGACGAUCCGUAACUGGUCUGAGAGGAUGAUCAGUCACACUGGAACUGGACGACGACCGGU